UGAGCUGUAGCUCAGGGAUAGGGCGUCUGCUGUGCAUUCAGAAAGCCCCAGGUUCAAGCCCUGGCAGCUCUG